AGCCGUGUGGCCGAGUGGUGAGGUACAGGUUUGCAAAACCUUUAACGUCGGUUCGAAUCCGACCACGGCGU
rnacentral:tRNA from 2 species